GUAGGUGAACCUGCGAAAGGAUCAUUACAGGUAUGAACCGGAGGGGGGCGGAGACGUCACCCCACGGGGAAACACCUACCUUGCUUAAUUUACCUUUGUUGCUUUGGCGGGACGCCUUAUGGCCAGCGGCUUCGGCUGUUGCGUGCCCGCCAGAGGACCACAACUCUUGUUUUUAGUGAUGUCUGAGUACUAUAUAAUAGUUAAAACUUUCAACAACGGAUCUCUUGGUUCUG
rnacentral:misc_RNA from 1 species